UUCCGUAGGUGAACCUGCGGAAGAUCAUUAAUAAAUUUUUUUUUGAAAUAAAAAAAAAAUAAUAAUCAUCCUACCCUCGUGAAUUUGUUUGUUGAAUAAUUUUUAAAAUUAUUUAUUGUCUAUCCAAGUUGGAAAGUUGUAAAAGACUGAAGACUUGGAGCGGCAUAAUAAUUUAAAGACUUUUUUCUAAAAUUAAACUUUUGUAUUCAUUUGUCUAAAAUAAUUUUUAUAAUAUAUAAAAACAACUUUUGACAAUGGAUCUCUUGGUUCUCGCAACGAUGAGAACGCAGCAAAAUGCGAUAAGUAAUGUGAAUUGCAGAAUACGUGAAUCAUCGAAUCUUCGAACGCAUAUUGCACUUUUUAGUUUACUAAAAAGUAUGUCUGUUGAGUAUCAGUAAAAUAUUCUCAUAAAAUUUUAAUUUUAUGGUUAUGAGUGUUUUACAACGAUAAACAAGUUGUUCACUUUAAUUGAAUUUUUUGAAGAAAUUCUUAAUUCAAAUUAAAUUUGGAUAAAUUUUCCCGUAAAAAGGAAUAACUAUACAAGUUUAUAAGAAUUUAGUGAUUUCUUUUAUGAAAAGGAAAUUUAUUAAAUAACUUGAUCUCAAUCAGAUAGAGUACCCGUGAACUUAAGCAUAUCAAUAAGCGGAGGAAAGAAACUAACAAGGAUCCCUAGUAACGGCGAGUGAAGCGGGAAGAGCUCAAAUUUGAAAUCUUAAAGGGUUUCCUUUACGAAUUGUAGUUUAAAGAAGUGUUUUCUGUUGAGGUUUUGGUAAAGUUCUUUGAAUAGGACAUCAUAGAGGGUGAGAAUACCGUAUUUGACCUUUACUUCAACUUUGUGAUACACUUUCAAAGAGUCGGAUUGUUUGGAAUGCAGUCCAAAAUGGGUGUAAAUUUCAUCUAAAGCUAAAUAUUGGCGAGAGACGAUAGCGAAAAGUACGUGAGGGAAGAUGAAAAGAACUUUGAAAAGAGAGUUAAACAGUACGUGAAAUUGUCAAAGGAAGCGUUUGACACCAGUGUUGUUUUUCUGAAAAUCAAUUAAGAACUGUUUAUGCUAAGUUGUUUAGACUUUAUCAGCUAACUGUUUAGUUUUGAGCUUUUCUUUAAUGCACUUUCAGUUACAAGUCAACAUCAAUUUCUUUUGCUGUAAAAAAGCUUGAGGAAGGUGCUUGAGAUUCGUCUUAAGUGUUUAUAGCCUCUUGCUAUGCAGUCGGAGAGAUGAGGUCUGCAGCGUAGAUCCUUCGGGCUAAAUGCAUUUGUGCUAAGUAUAGCAUUUUAUAGACAACUUGUUGACUAUGAUUUGUCUGUAGCUUACUCGCUUAUGUUAUUUUACCUACGCUUAGGAUGUG
rnacentral:misc_RNA from 1 species